AUGUACAAAUUUAUUGCAAACGUACGUUCACUAGGUUUAAUUAAUUUCUACACUUGUGUCAGUAAAAAUGAAAAUUUUGAUACUUCUUCCCAUUUUGAUGGGUUUUACGUAUGCGAAUUAUUACAAUUCUCGUACAAAUUAUGACACAUAUGACAAACGUGCAGAAGAAAUAUUAGAUGCAUUCGUCGACAGAUCUGUGGAUAAGUUUUUCGGCGGAUUACCACCUCUACUAAUAAUAAAUAUAUUUAUCGAAAGUCUUAAGACUCAAAUAAAAGCUUCUCAACUUUUUAAGUACAUUAGCUCAUUGUUGAGUUAUUAUAUGUAUCCAUGACAAUAUGUUGGCGAAUGGAUCUACAGCUUUCGAUAAUGUAUGAUUAUUUUACAAAUAUUACAUGUUUAUUAUUUCAUCCUGCAAUUUCCAUUGGAAAUAAUAUAUCUAACAAUAAAUAAAGUUUAUAUUGAAGACACAA